AACGAACGCUGGCGGCAGGCUUAGCACAUGCAAGUCGAGCGCCCCGCAAGGGGAGCGGCAGACGGGUGAGUAACGCGUGGGAAUCUACCCAUCUCUACGGAAUAACGCAUGGAAACGUGUGCUAAUACUGUAUACGUCCUUCGGGAGAAAGAUUUAUCGGAGAUGGAUGAGCCCGCGUUGGAUUAGCUAGUUGGUGGGGUAAAGGCCUACCAAGGCGACGAUCCAUAGCUGGUCUGAGAGGAUGAUCAGCCACACUGGGACUGAGACACGGCCCAGACUCCUACGGGAGGCAGCAGUGGGGAAUAUUGGACAAUGGGCGCAAGCCUGAUCCAGCCAUGCCGCGUGAGUGAUGAAGGCCCUAGGGUUGUAAAGCUCUUUCACCGGUGAAGAUAAUGACGGUAACCGGAGAAGAAGCCCCGGCUAACUUCGUGCCAGCCGCCGCAGUAAAAC
rnacentral:rRNA from 1 species